GAUGAACGCUGGCGGCGUGCUUAACACAUGCAAGUCGAACGAGAAGUGAAGACGGAAACCUUCGGGCGGAAGGCUUUAUUUCGAGUGGCGGACGGGUGAGUAACGCGUGGGUAACCUGCCUCAUACAGGGGGAUAACAGUUGGAAACGACUGUUAAUACCGCAUAAGACCACAGCACCGCAUGGUGCGGGGGUAAAAACUCCGGUGGUAUGAGAUGGACCCGCGUUCGAUUAGCCAGUUGGCGGGGUAACGGCCCACCAAAGCGACGAUCGAUAGCCGAUCUGAGAGGAUGACCGGCCACAUUGGGACUGAGACACGGCCCAAACUCCUACGGGAGGCAGCAGUGGGGAAUAUUGCACAAUGGGGGAAACCCUGAUGCAGCGACGCCGCGUGAGUGAAGAAGUAUUUCGGUAUAUAAAGCUCUAUCAGCAGGGAAGAAAAUGACGGUACCUGAGUAAGAAGCCCCGGCUAACUACGUG
rnacentral:rRNA from 1 species